rnacentral:rRNA from 1 species
GAUGAACGCUGGCGGCGUGCCUAAUACAUGCAAGUCGAGCGAAUGAUGAGGAGCUUGCUCCUCUGAUUUAGCGGCGGACGGGUGAGUAACACGUGGGUAAUCUGCCUGUAAGACGGGGAUAACUCCGGGAAACCGGGGCUAAUACCGGAUAAUAAGAAGAAACGCAUGUUUCUUUUUUGAAAGUCGGUUUCGGCUGACACUUACAGAUGAGCCCGCGGCGCAUUAGCUAGUUGGUGAGGUAACGGCUCACCAAGGCGACGAUGCGUAGCCGACCUGAGAGGGUGAUCGGCCACACUGGGACUGAGACGCGGCCCAGACUCCUACGGGAGGCAGCAGUAGGGAAUCUUCGGCAAUGGGCGAAAGCCUGACCGAGCAACGCCGCGUGAGCGAUGAAGGCCUUCGGGUCGUAAAGCUCUGUUGUUAGAGAAGAACAAGUACGAGAGUAACUGCUCGUACCUUGACGGUACCUAACCAGAAAGCCACGGCUAACUACGUGCCAGCCGCCGCGGUAAUAC